GCCGGAGUGGCGGAAUUGGUCUACGCGCACGACUCAAAAUCGUGUGGGGGCAACCCCUUGGGAGUUCAAGUCUCCCCUCCGGCA
rnacentral:tRNA from 1 species